rnacentral:rRNA from 1 species
GUCCAUGCUGUGACCGAUGAGUGUUAAAUGUUGGAAAUUAGUUUAUUAAUUUUCAGUAUUUGAGCUAACGCGUUAAACACUCCGCCUGAGGAGUACGAUCGCAAGAUUAAACUCAAAGGAACUGACGGAGGACCGUAUAAGCGGUGGAGCAUGUGGUUUAAUUAGAUAUACCGCGCAAAACCUUACCAAUUCUAGUAUAGGAGAGAAUUUUAGAUUUACUUUUAAAAUAAAUAUACAACAUUAGAAAUAUAAUGUUAUAU